CUUAGUUUAACAUAGGACCCUAUGGGAAAUACAUACAAAUGUCUUCUUUUAGAGAACCACUGAAUGGAAUGAAACCAAACAUGGCAUGAAUGUUUCUUAUGAGGUGCUGACCGAGUGUUGUUACUUUGAAGCCGAUCCAUGAUCCAAGAUGGCCGCCAGCGGGGGACUUAGUUUAACAUAGGACCCUACAGGAAAUACAUACAAAUGUCUUCUUUUAGAGAACCACUGAAUGCAAUGAAACCAAACAUGGCAUGAAUGUUCCUUAUGAGGUGCUGACCGAGUGUUGUUACUUUGAAGCCGAUCCAUAAUCCAAGAUGGCCGCCUGCAGGGGACUUAGUUUAACAUGGGACCCUAUGAGAAAUACAUACAAAUGUCUUCUUUUAGAGAAUCACUGAAUGGAAUGAAACCAAACAUGGCAUGAAUGUUCCUUAUGAGGUGCUGACCAAGUGUUGUUACUUUGAAGCUGAUCCAUCAUCCAAGAUGGCAGCCAGCGGGGGACUUAGUUUAACAUAGGACCCUAUGGGAAAUACAUACAAAUGUCUUCUUUUAGAGAACCACUGAAUGCAAUGAAACCAAACAUGGCAUGAAUGUUCCUUAUGAGGUGCUGACCAAGUGUUGUUACUAUGAAGCCGAUCCAUAAUCUAAGAUGGCCGCCAGCGGAGGACUUAGUUUAACAUAGGACCCUAUGAGAAAUACGUACAAAUGUUUUCUUUUUGAGAACCAUUGAAUGGAAUGAAACCAAACAUGGCAUGCAUGUUCCUUUUGAGGUGCUGACCAAGUGUUGUUACUUUGAAGCUGAUCCUUCAUCCAUGAUGGCUGCCAGAUGGGGACAAUGUUUAACAUAGGACCCUAUGGGAAAUACAUACAAAUGUCUUCUUUUAGAGAACCACUGAAUGGAAUGAAACCAAACAUGGCAUGAAUGUUCCUUAUGAGGUGCUGACCGAGUGUUGUUACUUUGAAGCCGAUUCAUAAUCCAAGAUGGCCGCCAGCGGGGGACUUAGUUUAACAUAGGACCCUAUGGGAAAUACAUACAAAUGUCUUCUUUUAGAGAACCACUGAAUGGAAUGAAACCAAACAUGGCAUGAAUGUUUCUUAUGAGGUGCUGACCGAGUGUUGUUACUUUGAAGCCGAUCCAUAAUCCAAGAUGGCCGCCUGCAGGGGACUUAGUUUAACAUGGGACCCUAUGAGAAAUACAUACAAAUGUCUUCUUUUAGAGAAUCACUGAAUGGAAUGAAACCAAACAUGGCAUGAAUGUUCCUCAUGAGGUGCUGACCAAGUGUUGUUACUAUGAAGCUGAUCCAUAAUCCAAGAUGGCCGCCAGCGGGGGACUUAGUUUAACAUAGGACCCUAUGGGAAAUACAUACAAAUGUCUUCUUUUAGAGAAUCACUGAAUGGAAUGAAACCAAACAUGGCAUGAAUGUUCCUUAUGAGGUGCUGACCAAGUGUUGUUACUAUGAAGCUGAUCCAUAAUCCAAGAUGGCCGCCAGCAGGGGACUUAGUUUAACAUUGGACCCUAUGGGAAAUACAUACAAAUGUCUUCUUUCAGAGAACCACUGAAUGGAAUGAAACCAAACAUGGCAUGAAUGUUUCUUAUGAGGUGCUGACCGAGUGUUGUUACUUUGAAGCCGAUCCAUAAUCCAAGAUGGCCGCCUGCAGGGGACUUAGUUUAACAUGGGACCCUAUGAGAAAUACAUACAAAUGUCUUCUUUUAGAGAACCACUGAAUGGAAUGAAACCAAACAUGGCAUGAAUGUUCCUUAUGAGGUGCUGACCGAGUGUUGUUACUUUGAAGCCGAUCCAUAAUCCAAGAUGGCCGCCAGCGGGGGACUUAGUUUAACAUGGGACCCUAUGGGAAAUACAUACAAACUUCUUCUUUUAGAGAACCACUGAAUGGAAUGAAAUCAAACAUGGGAAGAAUGUUCCUUAUGAGGUGCUUACCAAGUGUUGUUACGUUGAAGCUGAUCCAUCAUCCAAGAUGGCAGCCAGCGGGGGACAUAGUUUAACAUAGGACCCUAUGGGAAAUACAUACAAAUGUCUUCUUUUAGAGAACCACUGAAUGCAAUGAAACCAAACAUGGCAUGAAUGUUCCUUAUGAGGUGCUGACCAAGUGUUGUUACUAUGAAGCCGAUCCAUAAUCUAAGAUGGC